AGAGCCAUUUGCCAGCUGCCGCACUCAGUUAUUCCCCACACAUGCAGGAGGGGCUCAAAGCGGGACUUCAUGCCACCAAAGACCUGUGUCCCCAACACAAGGAUACUUGCAAGAACUGUGAGAGCUUUCAAGGCCCAAGAACAUUUUGGGGUGUUCUGGAGACGUGGAACCACCCCACUUAACGCAUGUAAGGGAAUCAAGGAAAAGCGUCUUUUUUGGCAGCUCUCCGAGGAGGGAUCUGCUAAAGAACUUGGAGGCACAUUCACUAUCCUUCUUACAGAGAGGAAAAAUGGUGUUACCCAGUUUUAGCAAGAAAAUGCAUUACUGAACUCUUUCAACACUCACUGCCUCUACAGUUACUUGUUAUCAUCUUCACUGGAGCUGGGAAACUGCUUGUCUCAGCCAGCAAAUAUGUUUUCUAUCAGUUGUCCCGACCGUUUCCUAUGAAGAGACUGCAUUUGAAAAGAUGGCUAAUAAUUGGGUAUAGACACGUUAGCCCUUUCGUCAUAAAAGGUACAUCUCAUUAUCAAAUGCAAAUAUGGCAUCUGUUAUUUUGACAGAUCCUUUAAAUGUGUAAACAAAUUCUGAAGAGGAUUUUAUUUCAAGUCAUGGAUGGGAAUUCUGUUUCUUAGUGGUCUGUGAAACACUAUAAACACUAUAUAUAACAUACAAUUAACAGUCCUGGUAGUGAUUAAAAUCGACUAUAUUUUCUUUCCAAACAGAUAUUUUUUUUUCCGACCAGCUCAUUUUCUACCAUUUCAUUUAGAUGUUAUGAAAGUGAAGGAGAAAUGUCCCUUUCUAGACAUGUCUCCUGGUCUGGUCAGAGUUGGCCACAUUCUGCAGAGGGUCUCAGUGCCUCUCUGACCCUACAGUUUGCACUAAUAUUGACAGGGCACUUCUGAGUUCCUUUAAUGACACCUCUUUUCCACUUGAAGUGAAAGAGCCUUUUACUUCUCAUCCUGUGUUAAAACUUUGGACCUUUCUUGAGUGUACAAAUUGAAGGACACCAUUCACCUAUGCUGUAUCUGGAGAAUCUGAGUCCUUCAGAGCAUAAUUGCAGACACAGUGCAGUGACCACCCAGAGAAACAGAUACAGAGUGGGAAAAGAGUGCUCUUAUGCAGGAAAACAGGUACUGUCUCCCUCAGAUUAAAACCCUGUGGGUUAGCAGAGGCUAACAGCUGCCUUUACUCUUUAGGCCCUAUGGCCAUCCUCAAGUGUCCUACUUGGCAGUGCUGCAGGGGCUGGGGUGGUUCUACCAGCCUGGAGCAUAUCUUCAUGGAUACAUCCUUGAUGUGGUGCUGGAACCAAGGUCUCGGUCUACCACAUCCCUGUGGCUGUCAUGAGCACCUGGUUAUUCUUGGAUUGUUCUUUCUCCUCUUGAAGGCAUUGCAUGCAGUACGGGUGUUCCUCACAUUGGAGGCUGGGGUGCAAAUCUGCUCUCUGUGCCCUCACCACUGUGUCAAAAUCAUUCACUCACUGAUUUUUAGUCCAAUAUUCAUCUAUAGUGGGGGUUAUUAGAUUCUUGGUUACUCUCUUGAAAACAGGGCAACGUGGAGAUUUGUGUUUACGGCCAUUGAGUCCCGAGUGAGCAAGCAACAACUAGGCAAGUGAUUAUUUCAGAGUUUCUGGUUUUUAGUAAGUAUAAAACAAAUCAGAUCUGUGCAUUUUAGAAGCAGUGCUGAAGGCUAAGAAUCCAAAAUAGAACCUGCUUCCUAUCAGUUAGCAGCUCAUGUAUCCGUUUCCUUCUCACAUAGGCUGCUGUCUCUCCCGUGUACAGCUAUCUGCUGAAAUAGAAACCUGCAGGCAGGCUUGUGGAGACUGUCCUACCCAAGCCUGGAGACUCCCCCUCACACUGGGGUGCAGAGUGGAACGUGUCCCUAGCUGUGCCUCCUUCUUACUGUUUGUGAGGGUCCCCACUGGGGAGCAGACAGGCUUCAGGCCCAGGGGCACCACAUGCUUCUGCCCCCAGUAGUCAGCUUCCUGACUUCCAAACGUCCCAUGUCCUCCAACUGCUGUCAUAAAAGGUGUUGUGCCAGGGGAAGCCAGACCUGUGCCUCAAAGGGAUUCUCUGACCUUGGCAUGGGUGGGUAUGGUCUGGCACCCAUAGGUUCAGACUGCUCUCCUGCCUUGGGAAGAGUGACCAGGGAUGGUGCCAUUUGCUAUUGCUGUUCUUUUCCUUGAACAUGGUAAAGAGCAGAGAAUUCUUCUGAAAAGCAGAACUCAGAGUCAAAAUACUUGGUUUGGUUUUGAUAUCCAAAAACUGAAUAAAUAAGCCCUUGAGAUCAGUGUUUUAAUAGCAUUUUUCAAUUAUUUUUAACCCAUCUACAUUUUCAGCUGCAGUGGUGUUUCAUUAUAGGCAUAUAUUCUUAUUUUAAAACUGCAAUUUAAUUAUAUGAAUAAAUAUUUCCAUGAAUUUGUUUUCAAACCUGACAUUUUACUCCAAGUCCCUACUCAUGUGUGAUGACAAAUGGUGAAGAAUUGUUGCCUGUCCAUCUUCUCUGUGCUAUUCCUGAUUUCAUGAACCUCUGUCAUAUCACAUCUCUUAGCUGGGGACCCACCCAAGUAUUAGUUUGUGUAGUUUCCCAUUGCAUGAAAUUUACUUUCUCUUCCCUCUUGGCUUUCAUUUUGCUUCUGGUUCUAGUACGUCUAUUUUGGGAUGGGAGGACAAAAAUUUCGCAUGCACAAGACAGAAGUGCCUCAUAGAUUGGCACAGGAAUAGGAAGACUUCGUAUUUUGUUCAUUCCAAGUGAAUCACAAAGUCUCUGAUUGAGCACCUUGGCUCAGUGCAACUCUGUGUGAAGGAAGAGAUGAGGAAGUUGCUCAAAAGCAUAUUGGGAAGGAGGAGUGUCUCUCUGAAAGUCGUGCUGCCAUCUGGAAGCUUUCCCUUAGCCAGUUAGUUGCCGUUUUUCCCAGUGAUGCAUGGGUAUCUUAAUUCUGUCUAAGAAAAUCUGAUAUGGUUUAUAGCUUAAUCCAGAAUUUUAGAAUAACAAAACCCAGUAUAAUAUGUGAAACCCUUGAGGUAUCUCACAGAAACAUCAGCUGUGCAGCAAGAGUGUGUUGAACUGGGAAAAAAAGUGCUUGAGAAAGCUGGGCCUUCACCUGCUUUCACUGUUCAAGCUUUUGCUCACCCUCAUGCUCAAACACUGUCAUCCUCAAGUCAGACUGGGAAACUCUGCCUUGUGCAACGACAGAUGACAAAAAACUCCCUCAUGUACCAGUUCAGUCUUCUGUUUUGCCUUGAUUUUCAUUUUCAGAUGUACUGUUUCUGCUGUGCAUUUGCAUAAUCAGGAAACUAUGUGGACACACAAAAGAGAAGGGAAGAAGAGGGCAUGUUGCCAGGGAAGGGACGCAGCUUGUCAGAAUAAGCACUUGGGUAGCACAUCCAAAGCCACAAAUUGGCUCUUUUUGUCCUCUCUGUCUUUUUCAUGUGUGCUUGAAAUCAAUCAUAGUUGGAUGUUUCUCAAAUAAAUGGAAGAAUAUCCAGCACCUCAUUAUUUUACUUCUUUCAUUUCACAUCGCUCUGCUCAUUUUUUCCAACGGAAUUGAAGCAGCGACAGAAGAUCUGAUUUUUCCCUUCAUCCAAGUUUAUGUCAGGAGUAACUGUUCUGGGAUGAUUUUUGUUUCUGUCCUGGGUAAUCUCGGAGAAAAAUUAGAUGCAUAGAAAGCACACAAAAUCACUGCUUCAGUGUCCUGAGCUUCUGAUAUUAUGGUUGUUGAAAUUCUGAGUAGUUUGUUUUGGUUUGUUUUUGCAAUCAGGUGUUUAUGUUAAGCCUCACAUGUUUUAAUUAUGUCCUUCAGAAAAUUCAGCUGUGUAUGUGUGUUAUUUGUUCUGAACAGGAGCAAUAUUUAGUAUCUUAAAAUAAUUGUUGAGAGGACUGGAAGUCCUCAAGCAUGUGCAGACUUAGUUCAGUCCCUCUUGAGUCAGUCAAGCAAAUUUAAAAGUAACAGGAGCAGCAUUCUGAGUAAUCACUGCUUUCUGCUUGAAAUCUCACAUAGGCCAGCGUGACAGGGUGUAGGCGGAAUACUAAAUAAACUGUUAAUCCUGAAGUCUUGGCAAGAACUCACUGAGCAUACCUGCCUCACUGUGGUCUUUGAGUAUAUAGCAGGCGUCAGCACAUCCAGUAAAAGAUCAACUGGGUCAGCUGGGAGAAAAGCAACUGUAAAAAAAACCAGGAAAGUCAGUGUAGUUCAGGUCAUUUCCACUGCAUGAUGAUAAGAGCUAAGUGUAUCAAAGGGAAAACAAAGUCGUAGAAAUGCUGUGAGGGUAUUUGCUUUGUUAGAAUGUCAUCCAAGUUCAUGUACUUUCACACCAACAUUUGUCCAAAUUAGAGCAGGACUCUGCAAGAAUCUGCAAGAAUCACAUGUACCGAUUUCAGAAGCGAAAAGGAGGAACAGCUUCAGCUGGUGCUAUGUUAAACUAGUGGUGGUUGCUGAUAGAUCACUUAAGUGAAGGGAGACACUGGAACUGCACAGGUUUUUUGAUGUAGUGUGUGUGCUACAGAGUGUGAAAUGCCAUCUGUUAUCUCUCGACACAGACAUGGAUUACCAUGUACAGGAAAUGAAAGAGUUACAGUUAAGAGCAUCAUACCCAAAAUUGCUAGCAAAUUUUGCCAAAAUACAUAUUUUUUCUUGCCUCCACUGUCUAGGAGUGGUGUUGUGCCUGCAAGGGGAGACAAGACCCAUUGCUUGGUAGGACAUCUCCUGGGAGGUCCUUGCUGUAGUGUUUGCUCUCUGUGCUGCUUGGCUUUGGUAUGAUCUUAAUCUACUUCUGCUUCCCUUGCACUACUGUGUGGAAAAAACCACCUGGAGUAUUGCUUGAUGAGACUGGCGGCUGCUCUGUACCUCCUAAGAAAUGAUGGAUGUGGCAAUAGGACUUGGUAUGAGGUUCUCUACAGAGUGGUGCUUGAACAAGGUUGCAGAAAUUAGAGUUGGGAUUUGCUUUCUAGCCAUUUGUGGAUUUCACCUGGCUCAGCUUUGCGGUAAUCUUUCAAGUUUCAAAGUGUUUACAUAGCCAAUGUCAGCCUGAGAUUGGACUUUCUGAGUGUGCUUCAGAAAUGCAGCUAAACAAGCCUCUUUUUUCUUUGGCUCUUCAUAACAUAAAUGCAAUCGGUCAGAGAAUGCAAAGUCACCUGUGGCAUUUUGUAUCCCAAACUGGUAUGCAGGGUAGGAAUGAUUCUAUACUUGCGUGUAGCAAUAGCUUCUGAAUCUGUUGGCAAAUUUGCCUUGAAAUUUUUGCCUUCAAAUGAGACUUUCUGAUAACAGUAUCUGACAUUACCUGGCUGCAUGUGUGUGUAUAGUCUUCUGUCCGAUUUUUGCCAAAGACACACAAAAUAUGCCUCUCAUUUUUAGUACAAGAAGGAAGUAUUUAUCUCAAAAAUUUCAUUGUUUUUCACCCUAUGUUAAAGUCAUCCUACAUUAGGAAAUAAGUAGCUCCUACUGACAUAUGCAGUGUAAUUUCUCCUUGUCUGCUUUGUUAGCCAGGGUGCUAUUUUGCAGAAUACAGUACAUGCAGUAUGCAUUCCAGAUCCCUGAGGCGCUUGUGCUUGGCGUCCUUCCUGCUCUGAAAUCUGUGCUGCCACUUCAUCAUUGCUGAGACCACCAACAGAGAGGAUCUGGGAGUCCAAAAUGCGGUGGUUUAAGACACUACUGGCACUCAGGUCCAAUCCACCUUUCUGCCAACAGAGACAGGGCCAAAUAAUAUGAAACCUGUACCUUGGCCAGCCUGUUUCACACACCAUAUAUUUGCUGAGGCACCAAGCAGAGGGCCAUGGAGCAGACAGCUGGUAUUGGUAUCAUCUUCAAUCACCUCAUCUAAAUCUGUCAGAUCUCUCUUGACUGCGUCCUUGGUUAUUCAUGCUAAAUAGCUUGAGCUAACAUGAUAUGCUUUUUUUUUCACCCUACACUGUUAAGAAGCCACAAUGCCUGUCUCUGGGGUUCCAAAGAAACUCUAGUUUUCAGAGACAGUUCCAUAUAUUGGCACAGCAGCAGUGAGAGGAAUCCAGUCAUUACCAGCAUGGUUUAACUAAUCAGCUGCAAAAAAAAAUUAAUCUCAUCGAUUUUCUCUCUGAAUACAUUUAUAAGCUAGAAGGCACUUCUUGCAUAUCUGAUCACUUGCAUAGCAAGGGAUAUAGACUUUCAACUUGUUUUGUUGCUAACUUAUUUGACAAAUAUCUCUCUAUAAGAGAAUAUCUCUAUAUAGGAGAAUAUUUAUCUGUCUAUCUACCUAUCUAUCUGUAAAAGAGAAAAACAAGUACUUUGACCAUAUUUAGAAAAUAUCAAGGGAUGGAGAAUCCAUCAGUUCCUUUGGUUGAUGGUUCCAAUAAUUAUCUAUAUUUUCUGCUGCGGACAUGGACCUUAUUUCCCAAUUCGAUGAAUCUGGCUUUAACUUUCAGCUUUUGUCUUAUAUUAUCUCUGUCUCUGCUAGUGUACAGGACCACUUGGUAAUUGUAUUUUUUCCUUCUUCAGGUUGUAAUGAAGCACAAAUUCUGGUAACUUCUUAAUUUUACUUCUAACAAGGUUAUAAAAUUAAACUGUGAGCUGCCUUCCGCUCUUUGAUGCUCUUUCUUCCCAACAUCUGUUAUUGCUGUCCUCUUGUAUAUAGAACACCGUAAGAAAUACAAAGCAACAAACCAUAACUGGUACAAAAAGUAGGAUAUUCCAUAUCUAUGUAAUAUUCUAUAUGAUGCAUAUUCUAAAGAUUUCUGUUCCACAAUUCAAUACAGACUGUCAAAGAAACGUUUUGUAACCCUGCUAACACUGCUGUUACAAUCAUAUGUGCUGCUGGUUUAGGAGGGCUCUGGGGGGAGCACCUGCCCAUGCUGUCACUUUCCUGGUUGCAUUAAUGGUAACAAAUCUGGGUGAAAAACCUUGGAGCAGAGAGAGCUUGAGAGAGUAUUGCUCAGACACUGCCACUGAGCCCUGUGUCCCAUGGCAGGAUUUCUGAUGCUGUGUCCUGGCCAAUAGGUGAAGACCAAUCUUACAUGAAGGGAGGAAACAUAUUAAAAGAAUAAUAAUUUCAAGAAAAUCAAAGACCUGGGAUUCUGAGUGUACCAUGUUACGCGUAGUGAGAGUGCUCUCUUUGGAAUUUCUCUUUAGAUUAAAAUUUUGCUCAAAGGUAUUUUUAAGAUGUCUAUCAGAUUUUACAAACUUUUAUAAGGCAUCCCUGAAGAAUUAGUACAGAUUUCAUAGUGUUUAUCUUCUGCUUUCCCUAGAAGGCAAUGUCUAUAGGUGUACCCUGUAGAUGUAGUCCAAAACUGAAUCAAUAUGCAGAUAAAUUAUCAUUGUUGUCUUGCUUAUAGACUAAUGUGCUUCUGUUAUCCCAAAGAGUUUAGAUGGACUCAGGACCUAUAAAGGUCUCAUUGCUUCCCUGCACAUUUGACUUACACUUCUGAGUAUCUGGAUAUUUUUUUUUCAUUUUCGAAAAGUCUGUUUACUAAUAUUGGAUCAGUAAAGAAAGUUUCCGUGAUGAAGUACCCUGUUCAUAUGCAUUCAUUAUCUGUAUGCCUGGAAUAACUCCAGACAAAAGGAUACUGUGGAGGAAAAGGUCUUGAAAACGUACAACUAAAGUAGUCCACACUGGUGUCAUGGUUAGAUGUAUCCUUGCUGAUGUCCACAGUACAACUAGGAGACACUAACUAGACUUACAAAAUCCUGUCUGGGCCUUUAUUGGGCUGAAUAUAAAUCCUGGGUGAGUUGUCUAGAGGAGUCUGUUGUGAUUAUUCCAGAGUUCCAUCCAGGAGACAGUGGAAGAAAAAAUGUAGCCAAAGCCAUAAUGAAUGACUUUGGGCCACUACAAUUGCCCAGUGCCUGCCUGGCCUGCUGUAUGAGUAGCAGCAGAGAGGAAAAGAAGAUGCAUUGACCAUAUUUGUCUUGCAGUGGUGACUGACAAACCAUGCUCCCAUCAACCUUGCUGGGUAAGGCUGAAAAUGCUUGGACUGUCAUCAGAAAACAGGGAAUUGCAGCAUUCCUUCCUUGCAGUUCAGGAGAAUCCCCCAAGUUUUUGCAUAACUGGGUGCACAUGCUGAUCCUCUUUAUCAACCUACUUGCUACACUAUUGACCAUGUUUUAAAGUCUGCUAAAUGUAUAGUGAUGCACAAGCUGUUGCGAUCUAAUUGCAAAUCCCCCAAACCACCAAAGUAAAACUCACAUGAUGCCUUAUUUUCCUUUCCAGCAAACAAAAGCAACCUCUGCAUUACUUCCCUACUUUUCUUAAAGACAAAUUUUCUGCAAGCUUUUUUUUGACACCAGCAGUUCAACAGCUGACAGACAUUUAUGCAAGUAAGACCCAUAUUGGGCUUACUCUGUAGAAGCUUCCGUUGUGUUUUCAUUGAUCAAUGCACUUUACAAUGGUCCUGCAGGAUUUCCCUGGAAGACAACAGAAACUGAUAAUUUCAAAACAAGCAGUGAGAAGGUUAUGUCCAAGCUAUGUUGUGGUUGAUUUCUGUGAGGUUUUCUUCACAGACAUUGGAGACCAAUUGAGACAGACUUGACCCAUGUUCUUGACUUGAGUGCUGGUAGUAGUAGUUAGGUCAUCUGUUUUUCUUGCUUGACACAGCUGCAGUUCCUGCACACCCUGUAAUAAGGCUCCUCAUCUGUGGGUUACAAGCCUUGUCAAAAGGAGUGGGGAAGCAGAUGGGUCAGAAAUUGGCUCCCUUUAAGAAGUUAUUACCUGUGUCCAUUAAAGGUGUUGGCAACACUACCAGUUAUCUGCUGUCCUCACCACUUUGGUAUUUAGCCUUCAGCUGUAAUUUGAAGCGCAGCAUGCACAUAUCAAUGUAUGAGAACAUGUACAGAAAUUCACAUCACAGGCAUGUUCCUCAUAUACCUCCCAUAUUUUGGUGACACUGUCAUUUGACUUACAGAACAGGAGGCCAGGAACAGGCCUUACCAGUAGAAGCCAGAUUUUUCCCGGUGGGAAUGACAAAGUGAAGGAGGUUAUUUUAUAAGUCAUCUCUUCUCCCAUUGCAAGUUGUCAAGAUCACUUCUUCCUCAAGGAUUGUGUAAUAUUGGGGGUCUCUGUUGAACAACAACUUGCUUGUGAGUGCCAGAAAUCAGGUUAAAUCUGUGACUGAACAUAUUUGUGAUAAACUGUUGCACAUUGACCUCACGAGAUUAAAAG